CAUGGGGAGCUUACGGAACGACAUAAAGAGGUCACUGGCGUCACUAAAGGUGCUCCGACCUUGAAGAACAUAGUUUCUUUUUCAUUUUAAGGUUUUCGGUGAACGUUUUGUCUGGUUUUGUCAACAAGAAAUGUCAUAUUAUUUACGGAAUCAUACGGGAUGUUGGGUUAUGGGGUUAAAAACAAACGUAAAAUUUAUUUUAACAAAGUAAUAGAUACUUACGACACAGUCUUACGAUACAUGUAAAAAAUACUAGAAAAUUCCAGGCUAAAGAGGUCAACAAACUGCAGGUUAAACGAAAUAGUUUAAUUUUCGGUGUGUGCGUGUUUGAGCGGUCCAAGAUUUAUUUUUAAAUUUUAGUGUGUAAAAAAUUCUAACUCUAAUAAAAACUGAGACGAGGUAAUCAAGAGGAAAGUCUUUGCAGGGGUGGUGGAAUGGUAUUUUUGUAUGGUUCGUUUUUUAGCCGCAAACCAGUUAACGAAUACAGUGCAUAAAUUGGGUGGCAUCAUUAAAUCGCCAAAAAUCACAUCUUCAUUGAAAACUUUAAAAUGUCACACAAUUAAAACAGGAUGUACCACUUCGUAAGAAUGUGCAAAGUUCACACAAACUUCGCAGAAGUGGUGGUGUAAGAAUGUGAGUUUCCGGUAACUCACAUCACUUAAUGAUUGUUGAAGAGGCCGGAAUACAGGGAAGAUGUGUUGUGGAAGUUUGUUUAAAAGAACACCUUAGCAAAUUUUUCAUUUCAAAUAAAAUAGUG